rnacentral:tRNA from 1 species
CCCGUCUUAGCGUAGCUUGGUAACGCGUCUGGCUGUAGACCGGAAGAUCCCCGGUUCAAAUCCGGGAGACGGGA